UCAGUAACACGUAGUCAACAUGCCCAGGGGACGUGGAUAACCUCGGGAAACUGAGGAUAAACCGCGAUAGGUCACUACUUCUGGAAUGGGUAAUGACCCAAACCUAUAUGGCCCCUGGAUUGGACUGCGGCCGAUCAGGCUGUUGGUGAGGUAAUGGCCCACCAAACCUGUAACCGGUACGGGCUCUGAGAGGAGGAGCCCGGAGAUGGGCACUGAGACAAGGGCCCAGGCCCUAUGGGGCGCAGCAGGCGCGAAACCUCUGCAAUAGGCGAAAGCUUGACAGGGUUACUCUGAGUGAUUUCCGUUAAGGAGAUCUUUUGGCACCCCUAAAAUGGUGCAGAAUAAGGGGUGGGCAAGUCUGGUG
rnacentral:rRNA from 1 species